ensembl:lncRNA
GGCUAAUCUCGCAUCGCGAGUUGGCAUACCGUGUAACGUGAAUUGACUUUAUUUUCGCACAGAAUAAUUUUUAAUACAAAUGCGAGCAAAGCGGUCAUUUCAUUGUGUCGUUCACAACACCAUCGCUGCGUUUUUAAAGCAGCAGUUUGUCAGAUUCAUUGGCUCAAUUUUUAAAAAAUGCAGCUCUUCGGUCCAAGAAGUUAGAAGGCGAUGAUGUUCAGUUGAGUCUGUUUUCACCGAGGGGCGUGAAUCACCUGAGCUCUACUGGAGCACAGCUCAGCAGUAACAUACAAAUAGGAAGAUGAAGAAUGGAAUGUUUUCAUUCUUCCAAAGAGCAUGGAAGGCUAUGAAGCAUCCGUUACUCUGCAGAUGGAAUAUAGUGGAGUCUUUUGUGCCUCUAUCUGAGACGGUCAGUCCUGAGCCACCAGUCCUCAUCCCUCAUCAUUCCUCAGGCUUUGAGUCCAUCUCUUUCAGCUCUACACUGGACAACAUGUCCAAAACAUCUUCGACCCUCUCUGAGGACAAUAUAGAUGAGAGAGAAGGUGACUAUAGCUGCAGCAUGCGGGCCAGAAGGAGACCCAGCCUGCAUCAUGUUAGUAUUAUGAAACAGGAUAUGUGGGGCCAAGAUGGCAUUUCCAGCAUCCCAGAGUAUAUGUACACUUUGCCAGGUGAAGUGCCUGUCAGUGUGCCAUCAGUUACCCUGAGUGCUCAGUGUGACACAGAUGCUUCUCCUAUGGAGAACAGUGCAACAGAGAAACAUACAAAUAACGAGGAGAGAAGGUUCUUCACCAGAGCGUGGAUGGUUUACUUACUGCUGUGCUGCAUACAGCUAUCAGAUUCAGUCAAUUCAAGUCUCUCCAAACUCUGAAUUGUACUGCACAUGCUGAGGACAGAUGAGAGAGGAGGUGAUGAUAUCUGGAGCAUGCGAGUCAAUAGGACAAGCGGCCUGGAUAUUAUCAGUAUUUCAAGCCAAGCGUAUGACAAAACUACAGCAGCAAGCAAAACGCAGAGAAAUGUUUGCCAAUAAAUGUUUACAAAUGAUACCA